rnacentral:tRNA from 1 species
GCGACCGUGGUGAAACGGAUAUCAUUAAGGCCUCCGAAGCCUUCGUUUCAGGUUCGAUUCCUGACGGUCGCACCA